GUAUUUUUUAUGUUUUUCCCUUCUUCACUCCUAUCAAACAGCCAGAGGAGGUUGGACAGCCAAUUAGGCGAACAUCUCGACCAAUCAGAUUGCGCCAUUUUUCUCAUGCUCGCACGAAGCUUUUGGCAUCGAAAAUUUACAUAGGGCUCAUAAAUGUCGAUUUUUUUCAUAUUGUUAUGCAAAUUUUUUUGAAAAUUUCACGCGAUACUACUUUUACAACAGUCAAUGUACCCAUUGGAACGGUAUCUUAAAAGGUAAGCGUCAUUUUCCAGUUUAUUUUGACCUCUCACUUAGGCGCUAUGCCGUCGCGAUGUAAUUUAAUGGCGUUUCUGUCAGCAAUCUUUGAAGACAAAAAUCUCAAAUCUCCAUGGUUCGAUUUCGCUAUUUUUUUCACGAUUAGUUAAAUAAAAGUAUAAUCUUUAAUUCUAUCCAGCCGGCCCCCCUCGGCCUCUCGACCAUUUUCGAGAUAUUCACAGUUGAAUAUAGCCCUUUGUAAAAUAUGC